rnacentral:rRNA from 1 species
CCUGUUUAUCAAAAACAUGGCUCCUUGUUAAUUUAACAUAAGGAGUCGGACCUGCCCAGUGAUAGUUUUCAACGGCCGCAGUACUCUGACUGUGCAAAGGUAGCAUAAUCAUUUGCCCUAUAAUUGAGGGCUAGUAUGAAUGGUUUGACAAGAGUGGCACUGUCUCUAUAAGAUUUUUUAGAACUUAAUCUUUAGGUGAAGAAUCCUAAUUUACAUUAAAAGACAAGAAGACCCUAUCGAGCUUUAAAAAAGUAAGUAAAUUAAGUUCAUACACGAAAUAUGUAUUAUUACUUAAAAUUUUGGUUGGGGCGACUAAGGAACAUACAAAGCUUCUUUUUUUAAGAAAAGCUUAUUUGCUUUGAUCCAGUAAAAUACUGAUUAAAAGAAUUAGUUACCGUAGGGAUAACAGCAUAAUCUUCUUCAAGAGCUCAUAUCGAAAAGAAGGUUUGUGACCUCGAUGUUGGACUAGAAUAUCCUGAAGAUGCAGAAGU